GGGUGGUCGAACUGACAACUGGAGAAACAAAGAAGUGAGAAGCUGUUCAGAAAAGACCUCAAAGAAGUUAACACUAAAGUGUAUCACGAGGGUCGGGGCCUGUUCCCGAGGGAGCUGUAUAUCCUCCGCCUGGGGCUCGUCAGUCACGAAAUAAGAAAAAGGAUUAUGCUAGUCCGUGCAUCAUAAUGCCCAGCCCCAUGCCGCAAGGAUCUGUACACAACUCCUGGAAGCUGAAAAUGUCUUAGUUCUUCCAUGGUCUGCAUACUCACCAGACAUGUCACCCAUUGAGCAUGUUUGGGAUACUCUGGAUUGAUAUGUACGGGAGCGUGUUCCAGUUCUCCCCAAUAUCCAGCAACUUUGCACAGCCAUUGAAGAGGAGUGGGACAGCAUUCCACAGGCCACAAUCAACAGCCUGAUCAACUCUAUGUAAAGAUGCAUAUCUCUAUUCCCAGUCAUGUUGUAACGGUUGUCUUCAUAAAUGGACCAAGGCGCAGCAGGCCUACUUGGAGUAGACUACACAGUGAGAGCCUGCAUAAUUUACAAUGACAAGACGAUGACGAAUGGAUGCACAUGCUACAAGGGUGAAAGAACACAAUAUGUCUGUCACGAAGAGUUAGGGAGUCUUUGCAGCGUGUAGAUGGUGCAGAGAGCGAGCUGAUCAAGGGGUCGAAAAUGUAGAUAUUUCCAGAUAUUUCACUCUCCGUGGAACAGACCGUGGUGGAAGCUUUAUUGCUGGCAAAAGUGUCCAUAACCAGAGAUAAUUAAACUGUUCUGUGUUCUUUUUCUCUCUUUAUGUCUGCCUGUCUUGUUGUACAUGGAACCUGUCUCACAUGCAUUACUUUAAAAAAAAUGAUGAUGUCUGCUGCUAAUUUUCAGAUUUUACACCACUUAAACACAGCCAUUUUCACUGGACUAUCUGUUGCUGCCAAGUCAUGAAUUCCCUGGGGGUUAGCCUUGCAAUAACCAAGUGGUUAUAUCAGCUGUUUUGGUGAAGACCUCCUGCAUCUGAACUGGCUGACACAGAGGGCACAGCAUGAUCAUAGGUAUGUUUUGAUGUGAGAGAGGAAGCUAGUCCCGUCAUCACCACCUCACCCGCUUUUAAGAUAACCUUCGGGCCAACCGGAGGCCCAAGGCUGGUUAGGAGACCUCUCUGGGAUAGGCGUCCCGCUCGCGUGACACCUGUCGACAACAUCCGGUGAAAUUGGAGGGAGCGCA
rnacentral:lncRNA from 1 species